UACCAGAAUCUGGCCAACGAGCGAACGGAGGCGUGUAAUGGGCGGGGUUCGCUUUGGAAAAGUCGAUGGGGAUACUGUAACAAUGUGAGCAGUGCUUCAAGAUAGAAAAUAAUGACAUUACACGUUCAUAGAAACAGGUGACAACCCAGUUAUUGAAAACAUGAUCUAGCUGAGUGGGUCCCCAAGGGAGGAAAGAAAACAUACUUUGAGAGUCCCUGGGGUAUCACUGCACCUCAGCAACGUAGACAACAAAGCUUUGCUACACCUUCUCUCCUUCAUUGCAGAGUGGCUGAUGUGUAGAGAGGCCCUCCAUGUUGCGUCUGGAACCCAUGCAAAUGCUCUAGCCUUGAAUGACCUGUACCAGUGCCUUUCCCCUUCUCAACAACAGCCACUCCUGCCUCAUCAUAGACAAUGGGAUGUCCUAAAAUGAGUAAAGCAUGCCUUAAAGUAUAAAUGGCUCUACAAACAAUAUCAUUUCUCCUCUGAACGACUCUCACAGCUGCAGUGAAAACCUCGAUGGGUCAAAAAAGUGCAUGCAUGUCAGGUGUGGACAGAGGGAGGGUCAGGGGAGGAUACAUGUACAAGGCACAUGUUGAUUUUCAGAAAAUCCGCAGGAGACCAUGAAGAGAUGGGUAGAGGACUUCUUUUUUUUUACCCUGGCCUGGGUUCGUCCACGGUGCCAUCCAGUUGCACCCGCCCACCCUACCCACUUUUCCUGCAGUGAGCUCUGGGGUGAGUGGCGUACAUCUCCUGCCAGGAAAUUAGUUGCUGUGUGGCUCUUGAAGGCCCAUGCCUUGAUGCAGUGAUCUCUACUUCUCUCCUCCUCAGUGUCCCAGCAGAGGGACAAGCUGGAUCUGUGCCUUUUUCUUCCCUCAUCUCUCUCACUUUCUCCCUGCCUCUCUUGCUCUCUCCAAUCCCAUGUCAGUCAGUCAGGGGAGGGAUCCGAGUUGUGCUUCCUGGAAGAGCUUCUCUCUUAAAGCGGCACAACAGAGUCCUGUAUAUCAUGGUUCCAUAUGAGAGGAGUCGUUAAACUUGCUCGCUUGGUGACUCAACAUAAGCAGCAGUCGUAAUCGGAUGGGAUACUUUCUCAUGCAGCAACUGGACCACAGGCUAAGUGGAUGCAUUUCCCCCCUAUUAGUCUAUGAGGAGGACCCUGUGUCCUCUUAUUGGAUGACAACCAGGAAGUGGAAGAUGGCCACUAAUUGGCUUUAGAGGCAUUGUUGUUUUUGGUUUUAUGGUAGAGAUCUUUUAAAAUGUAGCGUGAUUGAGGAAGACAGUGACUAUUUUAACCCAGAUAUUGUGUUCCUAGUUCUGAGUACAGUUAGAUACUUUUAUCCUCUUUCUCUCUCCAAUUCUGCAUAACCAACACAGUAACUCAUUCCUUGAAACACACACUCACUUAAACAGUGAAGAUGACACUCAUCUCUCUUAUGUUGUCUCUGGCAGAGCUGAGACCCGAUGGUGGCCAGAAAGAUGGGAUGCAUCCCAGAAUGCUAUUAAGCAGAGAGAUGGGCCUGCAGUUCUCUACUUGACAACAUGCAUCUGUACAAGGUAUCCAUGAUGAUGGUACAUGUGCACCUUGGCUUUGGUACCCAUCCUGCAAAGAUGUCUUAAAUCAAAAUCUGUUGAUACCGUGCAUUCGGAAAGUAUUCAGGUCUUUAUGGUAGAGUGGCCAGAUGGAAGCCACUCCUCAGUGGAAUGCUCAGCCUACUUGGAGUGUGUGGGCUGUCAUGUGCCUUUUUAUAGACUCUCAGACCAUGAGAAACAAUGUUCUCUGGUCUGAUGAAACCAAGAUUCAACUCUUUGGCCUGAAUGCCAAGCGUCAUGUCUGGAGAAAACCU